UCAGGCCACAGUACACUCUUGGGAGAGGCAGCUUGGAUUACUUUAGCACAAGGGACUUUCCAAAACCAAAGUUAUUAGGAAAAGCAGAAUGGAGAAUAUUUGGAAAAAAUGCUGUUAACACCUGAUCCACACGUUCUUUCCUUCCCCUGUGCUGCUCAUAAUCACUUACAGACGCUGAGGUGUGUAGGAACGGACAGGCAACCUCAGCCUGCAGAGACCCCAAGACAUGACAACAUGGAAGCCUCACCUCGGAUACCGUUUCUGAUUAUUAUGAAAUGGAGUACAGGCUUCCACCUCCAUCACUGACACUCCUUCUUUUGGUGAACCACAAGAAGAUUGGCAUUCUGGUUGUGAGCCCUGCCCAUCACAGGAGAUCUGGCAACCAAAAAACAGGUACUAUUGGUACUGCCUACUGUCUCCCAUCACUAUCUGCUAUAAGUAAGAACUAAAAGAAAACACAUUUAUUUUUUAAAUGGAGCAAUUUCAGUUUGAUUGAAUUAAGAGCUAGAUGGAGAGUUUUGGAUCCAUUCUUCCUUUUCGUGUUGACAGACACUGUUAAUACAUACAAUGAUAUUUAUCAUAGUCCUACUGAAGCAUGAAAAUAUGGUUGAAACAGUUUUUAAACUAAAAAAUGAUGACCUACAGCAGAGUGCAAUUACAAAGAAAGUUUUCAAUAUUCGGGCCAAGUAAUGGCCUUCCCUCCUUGGCCUUAAUUCCCAUGUUUAGAAAUAUACCAAGUGCAGUACACACUGUACUAAAUUGCCUUUGACUCAACGUUCAUUAUAAUUAUGUUAAGUAAAAGAGUUGCAGAGCCAAUUGGGCUUCUUAGCUCUCAGCCUUGUAGUUUAUAAAGUUUGUAAAGUCCCUAAAAUAGUAUACAUUAUCUACCACAAAUACUUAUUUUGGGACAGGGGAGAGUGAGGUUUUAUUUUCCAUGCUCUUUAGAAUGAAGCCUUAAAAAAAAGUUUCUCCAGUUGAUAAGUAUUCAUUUUUCCUUAGGGUGAGCACUAGAAUUUAAUUCCUUGAUCUUCUACCUCAGUCAUGACUCAUUUUCUGAGACUCUGCUUCUCUAUCAAGCUUGUCCAACCCAUGGCCCAUGGGCUGCAUGUGGCCUAGAAUGGCUUUGAAUGCGGCCGAACACAAAUUUGUAAACUUUCUUAAAAUGAGUUUUUUUGUAAUUUUUUUAAGCUCAUCAGCCAUUGUUAGUGUUUUAUGUGUAGCCUAAGACAAUUCUUCUUCCAAUGUGGCCCAGGGAAACCAAAAGAUUGAACACCUCUGCUCUAUAUUGUUGUUUGAGGCAAUGCUUCCCUUCUCCACCCUUGCUUCCUGGCAGACCCAUCAGAAAAGUAUCUCUCGCUAGGUACAGAGGCUUGUAACUAUAAUCCUAGCACUUUGGGAGGCCAAAGCAGGAGGAUCACUUGAUGCCAGGAGUUUGAGAUCAGCCUGAGCAACACAGCAAGAUCACGUCUCUAUAAAAAAUUUUAAAAAUUAGCUGGGCAUGGUGGCUUGUGCCUGUAGUCCUAGCUACUUGGGAGGCUUAGGUGGCAGGAUCACUUGGGCCCAGGAGUUUGAGGCUGCAGUGAGCUCAGACUGCACCACUGCAUUCCAGCCUGGACAACAGAGCAAGAUUCUGUCUCUUAAAAAGAGGAAGAGUGGCAACAACGUACCUCUCUUGGGCUCUGUGAGCCCUUCAGGAAGGCUUUGGUAUGGGGGUCAGAAGAUGGGGGUUAAGGCUACAUGAAAGGCUUUGGUACAGGGGUCAGAAGACCACGGUUAUGGCUUGCUAAGAACCACUUACUAAGCUGAGGGUUAGGUGAGUCAUUUAGCUUCUCUCAAGCCUCAAUUUCCUCAUCUUUAAAAUACAGAUAAAAAUACUGCUUUGCACAUCUCCCAAAGUAAGUGGGGAUCAAAUAAAGUCAUGUGAAAGCUCUUUAUAAACACUGUCAUAUAUAUUUCUACAUCCCAGAUUUUUGGGGAUUCCAGUUAUGGCACAGUCUAGUAUUGGUUAGCAUUUGAUAUGGUUUGGUUCUGUGUCCCCACCCAAAUAUUAUAUUGAAUUGUUCUCCCAUGAUUCCCACAUGUUGUGGAAGGGACCUAGUGGGAGAUAAUUGAAUCAUGGGGAUAGUUCCCCCAUACUGUUCUUGUGUGAGUGAAUAAGUCAGGAGAUCUGAUGGCUUUAUAAGGGGUUUCUGUUUUCACUUUUUUCUCAUUCUCUUGCUGCCACCACGUAAGAAGUGCCUUUCGUCUUCCGCCAUGAUUGUGAGGCCUUCCUCACAAUCCAUGUGCAACUGUGAGUCCAUUAAACCUAUUUUUCUUCCCAGUCUCAGAUAUGUCUUCAUCAGCAGCGUGAAAACGGACUAAUACAGCAUUUUUUCAGUUCCAAAUACCAAAAACACAAUUCAAGCAGAAUUAAGGUAAACAAAUAUAGAUGGGCUCAAAAUACAAAAAUUGUAUUUCUACACACUUGGAAUGAUCUAUUCAAAAAUAAUAUUAAGAAAACAAUUCCAUUCACAAUAGCUUCAACAAGAAUAAUAUACCUAGGAAUAAAUUUAACAAAAAAGAAUGCCAAACAUACUUUGAAAGCCACAACAUGUUGUUGAAACAAACUCAAGAGAAUCUAAAUAAAUUGAAAGACAUCCAUGUUCAUGGAUCAGAAAACUUAACAUUAAGAUAGCAGAACUCCCCAAAUUGAUCUACAGAUGUAACAUAAUCUCUAUCAGAAUCCCAUGUGACUUCUUUGUAGAAACUGACAUGCUGACUUCAAAAUUCAUACAAAAUUGCAAGUCAACCAGAAUAACCAACACAAUCUUGAAAAUAUAAGCAAAGUGCAUGCACUCACAUUUUCUGACUUCAAAGCUUACAAUAAAGCAACAGUAAUCAAGACACUGUGGUACUGGCACAAGGAUCAGUGGAACGGAACUAAGAGUUCAGAAAUACAUCCUUGUGUUUGUGGUCGACUCAUUUUCAUUUUCAAUAAAGAUGUCAAGGCCAUUCAAUAGGGAAAGGAGAGUGUUUUCAACACAUGGUGCUGGGACAGCUGGAUAGCCACAAGCAAAAGAAUGAAGCUCAACUCUUAUCUCAUGCCAUAUACAAAAAUUAAUUUAAAAUGAAUUAAAUACCUAAAUAUAGAAGCUAAAGCUACAAAACUAUUAGAAGAAAACCUAAGGACAAAUCUUCAUGGCCUUAGAUUUGGCAAUAAAUUCUUGCAUUUAACAUAAAAAGCACAAGCAAAACAAAGGAAAAGUUCUGAUAAGAAAUUUGUAUAUAGAAUGUAUAAAGUAAAAUGGGCAAAGGAUCUGAAUAAACCUUUCCCCAAGGAAGAUACAGAAUGGUCAAUAAACAUAUGGAAAGAUGCUUGACAUCAUUAUUCAUCAGGGAAAUGCAAAUCAAAACCACAGUGAGAUACCACCACAUCUACUAGGAUGGCUAGAAUGAAUAAAGUUGGAUAUUAAUAAGUAUUGGCAGGGAUAUUGAGAAAUCAGAGCCCCUCAUACAGUGUGGGUGGGAAUGUAAAUAAUGUAGCCACUUUGGAAUAAGGCCUGGCAAUUCCUCAAAAAUUAAACAUGGUCAUAUGAGUCAGUGAUUUCGUUCUUAAGGUGGAAUUCUAGUCAAGAGAAGUUCCAUUCAAAUCCACUCAUGAAAAAUAAAAACAUAUCUACAUAAAUGAACACAAAAUAUUCCUAAUAGACAAAAGGUGGAAACAUCCAAACAUUCAACUGAUGAAUGGAUUAACAAAAUGUCAUAUAUCCAUAGGACAGAAUAUUAUUCAGCCAUAGAAAUGAAGUACUGACAUACACCAUAACAUGGAUGAAACUUGGAAAUAUUAUGCUAAGUAAAAGAAGCCGGACACACAAGCCAUAUUAUUCUGUUUAUAUGAAGUAUACAGAAUAGGCAAAUGUUAAACAAAGUAGAUUUGUGAUUGCUUAGGGCUGGGAAGGAUGGGAACAUAGGGGAGUAAACAGAAGAAAUGGGGGCUCUUUCUGAGGUGAGAGAAAUAUUCUAAUAUGACUCUGGUGAUAGUUGCACCUGUGUAUAUAUCUGUGAAUAUAUAAAAAUCCAUUGAAUUAUACACUUUAAGAGGGGAAGUUGUAUAUGAACGAUAUAUCAAAGCUGGUUAAAACGUAUUGGCUUGGAUCAUGAACAGUCCAGGGGUCCACACCCCUUGUCACUCCCACUCUCAGCUCUUCUUGCCUCUGUUGGCUUUCUCACUUGGUGGCAGAGAUGAUGACUAGUAGCCCCCAGCUGACCUUUUACCACUGUGUUAGUUCAAGCUGCCAUAGUAAGAUACCAUUAGAGUGAGUGGCUUAAAUCACAGAAAUGUAUUUCUCACAGUUCCAGCAGCUGAGAAGUCUAAGAUCAAGGUGCCAGCAAGGUUUGGUUCCUGUGAGGACUCUUCCUGAUUUGCACCUGGCCACCCGCUGUGUUUUCUGUCCACAGUGCAUGCCUUUCCUCAGUGCAAGCAUGUGGAGAGGGAGCAACCUCUGGUUUCUCUUCCUCUUCUAUGUACUCUCAUCCUGUGGGAUCUAGGCCCUAUCCUUAUUACCUUACUUUAAUUACUUCUGUAAAAGCCCCAUGUCUAAAUAUAGUCACAUUGGGGAUUAGGGCUUCAACAGAUGAAUACUAGGGGGUGGAGGGGGUAUACGAAUCUUCAGUCCAUAAAAGCCACACUAGCAAAUGCAGUCAAAAGCACACUUCCAUACCAAAGGGGCUAGAAGCUAAAACUAUAAGCACACUUCUCUCCCAAAGGGGCUAGAAGCUGCAGCUGCCUGCUCUUAGCCCAACUUAGAGCAGGAUUUUGUUUACGGACCAAUCACUUUGACAACCCAGGCCAGAGUCAUAUAAACACCAUCAAAGCCUGAGUGGAUCAGCCCCACCCUAGCCAGAGAGAAAGUGCCUCAUCCCAAAGGGAAAUGUUGAGUCUCAUCAAAGAAAAGGGGCAAGAUGAGGCCAAACAGUAAAUAGCCCACAAUGCAAGGUCCACAGUCAAGGAACCUGCAUCCCAGGCUUAGAUGGGGCAGAGACUGCCUGUGUGUCCAAUGGCUAGUCACCAAACUCUAUACCCCUGUGCAUUAGUCCGUUUUCACGCUGCUAUGAAGAAAUGGGUAAUUUAUAAAGAGACUGGAUAACUUCUAAAGAAAACAGGUUUUAUUGACUCACUGCUCCACAUUGAUGGGGAGGCCUCAGAAAACUUACAAUCAUGGCAGAAGGGGAAGCAGGCACAUCUUACAUGGUGGCAGGAGAGAAAGUGUGAGCGUGUGAGGGAGGCACUGUCAAACACUUACAAAGCCAUCAGAUCUCGUGAGAACUCACUAUCACCAGAACAGCAUGGGGGAAACUGCCCCCAUGAUCCAGUCACCUUCCAUCAGGUCACUUUCCUAUAUAUGGGGGGAUUAUGGGGAUUGCAAUUCAAGAUGAGAUUUGAGUGGGGACGCAAAGCCAAACCAUAUCACCCUGGUACCCCCAGAUUACAGCACUGGGAAGAUGAGAGGAGAAACAUAUGUGACAGCACUCAAGAACCAGAACUCAGAACUCAGGGGCUAGAAGGGAACUUUAGGAUCCCCACCUCCCUCAUUUAACAAAUUUUUCAAAACUAGUCUACAGAGGUAGAUGUAAGACAACUUGAUAUGAUAAUUAAAAUUGAUUUCACACCACUAGACCUGAAAAAGACAAAUUCAUGCACAUUUGCUAGCUGUCAGAACUUUAAGCAGGUGACUUCAUCUCUCUCUUCAUUUUAUGAUUAAAUUGCCAAUAAAAAAAUCAUCUCAUAGGACUGUUCUCGAGAUUACGCAACAUACUUUGCAAUGCAGAGAUCAGAAUGCCACACUCCACACUCAUGUAACUCAGAUGGGCCAUGCAGACGUGAGGUUAUUGGACUUGAGAUAUAAGCAGCUUUCUCUGGAGCCUGACGUCUAUCUCCAACAGAAGGAGAGAACUGAGCAGGAGAUCCUCACCUUACUAUGGUUAGAAUGUUUGUGUCCCUUCCAAAAUUCAUGUUGAAAGUGAAUCCCCUGUGCAACAGGAUUAAACAUGCAUCCUAUAGGAAGGUGAUUAGCAUCUUAUAAAAUGGCUAGAGGGGGCAAGUUCAUCUCUUCUUGUCCUUUUUGCCUUUCCUCCAUGUGAGGAUGGGGUUCGAGGUGCCAUCUUGGAAGCAGAGAUGGGGGCCCUCCCUAGACAUUGAACCUGUCUCCGGAACUGUGAUAAAUACAUUUUUGUUCUUUACAAAUUACUCUGACUCAGGUACUCUGUUUACAGCAACACAAAGGGACCGAGACGCCUCUCUUGUAUGAGGUCUUGUCAUGCCAAGUGUAUGGGAUUUGGAGUCAGCCUGGUCACAGUUUGAACCCUUGUUACACCAUUUUGAGACUGCGGACCUCAGAGAAUCUGUUUCCUCUUCUGUAAAAUGAGGAGUUUGUUUUGCUUUCUUGAAAUCGGCCAUCAUUCAAUUCCUCUGCCAGAGUCCAUGUUAGCCUGAGACCAACUGGAAAUUUUUUGCCUCUGAGAAAGGAAACCAGAGAGACUCCUCCGUGAGCUCCGGAGGAAGAGACGCCAGCCUUCUGACUUCUCAAAGCAUGUUAUUCGCAUCACUACCUACUCAGGCCACACGGGGGAGCCGCGGGCCGGGCAAAGGCGAGUCCGCGCGCCCGCCCAGCGCACACCUGCCCGGCGGUGGCGGAUGCCGGCUGCGGGCUCCCAGCGUGGGCCAAGAGUCCUCACUCGGCGAGUUACACUGAAAUCAAAAUGAAGCAGAAAGAUGUGGCUUUAAAAAGAGAAAAACAUUUUCAAGUCACGUGCUUUUUUCUUCGCUUCCCUCUUAUCGUGAAAUCUGAGAAAUGUCAAACAAGAAAGGAAUGAAGUAAAUCAGGAUUACAGUUUAAUUCGAAGGCAGGUGGUGGGGGGUGAAGGGGAGGGAAGGAGGGAGGGAGGAAGGAAGCAGGAAGGAAGGAUGGACGGAUGAAUGGGUCUAUCCUAGGAUCCUUCUGUUGGUGUGAAGUUGGGAGUGACUCGGGUUAAGCAGAAAUGGGAUUAUGCGAACCCUCAGUCACGUGUCUGGGAAAAGGAUCUCUUGAAAGACUGGAGGUUUUAACAAAUAAGGAUUUGCCCGCAUUCGUGUACUUUUCGGCACUAUUUUCUCAAAACAGCAGACACCUGUGGGACUGAAUUGUUCACUAAUCCUCAAAGAAUAAAAGCAACCUAGAAGCAUUUAAAGGGCAGUUAAGAUAACAGCCUGAACUUGGACAAGCAGGUGGCCAGUUCCUUAAGCAAAUACUUAGACACCUAACUAAACACUACCUCUCUUUUUUUCCUUGACUUAAGCAUUUCAAACCAAGCCCCCACCACCUUCCUGAGCCAGGGUCCGCAGGAGCUCCAGGGCCACUACACAUGGUGUUGCCCUGCCCUAGAUAAUCAGUAAGUAUUCACUGAAUCAAUAAGCACUUUAAUAAAUGAUCCUCUCUUCAAAUCAUCAUUAACCUUAAUCCUUAGCAUGAAGGAAAUAAUGAAAUAAUGGUUAUUAUAAGUUAGGUCUCAAGAAUUCAAGCAUACAUGAAACAUGCCAUGCAAAUCAUAUUAGUGUGUAGUUGUUACAACUAGAACACUCAACCAAGUCACACGUUCCAAAAAGCUCCAAUCCUAAUAAUGCUCCAUGCCUAUAACCCCUUUGAGCUAUUCCCCUGUCACCAGCAGCCUUCCCCCUUUAUAGAUUUAAUCUUUUCAUUCAUCCCUUCAUGAAGUAAAUCCUGUAUUGAAAACUCCAAGCUGCUCACAAAUAAGAUAAGCCACUAGAGGUAUGAAAGUGAUUGUCAGUUACUCAAUCUAAUGGGGAAAUCAAAUAAAUGACAGUGGGAUCGUCCAACAGAUCAGGUGGAAGGGCUACAGGAGGAGUGUGGUGAUGGGAUGUCACAGGAGUUUUACAGAGAAGGUGACUUUUGAGCUGUGUCAUCAGGAAACAGUAAGACUUUGCUAGUUGGAAAAAGUCACAAGUAAUAACUGCAGUUUCCCAAUUCAUAAUGUUUAAAAAGCAUGGGUUUUUGAGUCACACAGUCCUUAGACACUUGACAAGAUAAGGCAUUAAUAGCAGAGGUUCAUUUGGCUUUUUCACAGUGAUAAAUUCAUUUAUUUUUAAAAUAUUUUGGCACUCCCCUUUAGUUCUACAAAUGUACUGAUACUAUACUACAGUUAUCAGUGAAGCAACAGCAUGUAGGAGUGGGAUCCAUGGGUUCACCUAAUACCUUAAAUAUCUGCCAUAAUCUCUUGGUAGUCCUUCCCUCAUCAGUGAUGAAUAAGUGGGAAACAAAAUUAUUACACAACCCAUAGUGUUCAUAAGAGAAACCAAACCAGUUCUUUGCUUCAUUCAUUCACUUAUUCAUUGACUCAGACAUUAAUAUUAAUUGCUGAUUAUGUUGCAAGCCUUGUCUAAGGUUACUACCCCUAAGGAGCUCCCAGAUUGGUGUAGACCACAGAACAAAACCAGGUAACUCAAGUGUGUUACCAGGUGACACCAGCAUAGUGAGGACAUGAAACGGCCAAGCUGGUGAGCACAGAGGGGCACAGCAGAGAGGGACCCUAAUCCAGACCUGUGGCAUCAGAGAAAACUUCCUGGAGGAGGUCUUUCUGAGCUGCUUCUUGAAGAGUGCUGUACUUUCCUCUAAUCUGGUCUGGAGGGCUCUCCCUGGAGAGGGGUUAUAAAUUCUAGUCCUGCCCUGAUGGGGCUACAGGAAAGGCGGUCAUGAGUAUUUACAGUGUGCCUUUCAUGGGAUACUACUUUACCCUGGUCAAUGGCCUCAUGCCUAAGUGUCUGACUCAUGACCAGGUGUCCCUCUCACAGGAAACUUGUUUAUAUUGGCAGACACCCUUGUGGCUCUUGUCUGACCUGUGUCCAGUGCAUUCUUACCAAGAUAGCCACUCUGUAGGAGAGCUCUGACGGGGAGAAGAGUUAGGUUCGACUGUGUCCGUGGGGUGAGACACAGAGGAGGCAGUGCAACAAACACAUUAAAUAACAAAAGCAGUGCAUUACCUACAGACCCAGAGAGAAGAGGGCAGCACGCCUUGCCUCACAGGGCCAGUGGGAUGAGAAGAGCUGUCCAGGACACAUGCACUCAACCAAGGAGUGGGGAGCAAGAGAGAGAGAACCUGUGGGACUAAAGCCUUUACUGGGGACCAGGGCAUUACCCAGUUUCCCGUGGGUAAUUCUACUUGGUGGGUUUGGAGCAAGCAGGUCCAUGUCUCAUGCAGUCACACUGGGACUGGUCACUAUGGCAUAUCUGCACAGUCCAUGUUAGGUACGUGGGUCAGUAAGGUGAUUCAAGUAGGCUGCAUUGGGAGGUGGUCCCAUAGGGAGGUGGUCACCAGGAGGCAGUUGUAUAAGGCAAUGUAUAAGUCCAUUUUCAUGCUGCUGAUAAAGACAUACUUGAGACUGGAUAAUUUAUAAAGAAAAAGAGGUUUAAUGGACCCACAGUUCCACAUGGCUGGGGAGGCCUCACAAUCAUGGUAGAAGGUGAAAGACAUGUCUUACAUGGUGGCAGUCAAGAGAGAAUGAGAGCCAAGUGAAAGGGGUUUCCCCUUAUAAAAUCAUCAGAUCUCGUGAGUCUUAUUCACUACCAUGAGAACAGUAUGGGGGAACCGCCCCCAUGAUUCAAUUAUCUCCCACUGUGUCCCUCCCACAACACAUGAAAAUUAUGGGAGCUACAAUUCAAGAUGAGAUUUGGGUGGGGACACAGCCAAACCAUUAUCAGGCAGAUAUCUGGAUUGACCAGGUUGAGGAACUGGGAGGAAGUGUAGAACUGGAAACUCUGUCAAGGGUGACUGAGCCCUGCUUCUGGUAUGAAAGAGUUUAAGUUUCAGUCAAAGUAGAUGCUGCAGCAAUGUAAAAUUAUGAGUUCAUGACAAGGAGGAAAGUCAAAGGCCAGCCAGAGAGAAUGGCAUGUUCCACUGCCUGGAAGCAAAAGAGCCCACUGUGCCAAUGGUUAGUCUGACUGGAGUAUAGAGCUCCAGGCAUGGCAAGUGGUGGCUGAAAAUGAACCUAGAGAGAGGCGUGAAGGGCUCAGAAGUUGCUGAAGAACUUGGAAUGCAGCCAAGGAAUGGUUUUAAGCAGAAAAGCGAUAAGAUCAAAUCUGUCUUUUGAACUUCACCCUGGCUUUAGUAUAGAGACAGGUAUAACAGAAGGCAAGAAGACAGAUUAGAAACCUUUUGCAAUAAUGUGCGAGAAAAACACAACUGAUCUUGGCUAAUCAACAAAGUCCCAGUCUAAGUUAGAGGGCCAGAAUGAUGAUUUGGAUUCAGUUUAACUGGCCACUGCUUGGGUCUGCUGAAGAGCUAGCAAAGAAACUAGCAGGGAGGCACAGUGUAAAAAUGAUAGACGUAACCAAAUUUCUUGUGGAUGCAGCUGUCGUAUUCAGGGGAGGAGGGUCCCCUCUCUGGAGGUGGAGGGAAGACUUUGAAUAAUGCCCAGAUGCAUUAUUUGAAUCAGCAAAAAGAGCCCACCUCUUCCCUGGCUGGACUCUGGACUCUGUUUCUUUCCAUCAUAUUAGGCUUAGGGCAGGCCUGACAUGGUCGGUCUCAGUGUUGGAACCCUGAACUGAUGUCAUGGAAAAAGGGCCGGUGAAAGGUAGGAAGAUUAAAGAUGUUGAGAAAAAUGUCAAUAGGAUAGGGUGAUGAAUUGCACCUGAGCAGUGAGCAGAAGGGAGGAGUUCUGCAAGGUGUCUGGAUUGGUUGAGCGCUGUUUUCUAAUUCAGGAGAAAGGGGGAGAAAAGAGUUCAUAGCAAUUAACACUAUACGCCAGCCAGUUUACAUAUUUUGACUUACUGAAAUCUCAUAACACUUCUGAAGGGGAUCGUAGUAUCCUCAUCCUAGAGUUGAGCAGCAAGGCUCAGGGGGGCCAAGGGAAGUGUCUGUGCUCAUAGGGAGCUGCAGAGUCAGCUUCAGGAAUCCACAAUCUCUCUGGAAAGCUACAUCAACACUUCUCUUGUCUCUCACAGUUGGGCCUUCUGGUAUUUUUAUGCUCAACUUCUUAACUUCUCUGAAAAAAGCACGGUCUCCUGUAGUAAGCAGAAAACAAUCUUCCACUCACUGAACUAAGCUGCUGACUUUUUACCUCAUCACUUUUUUAGAAGUUCAAGGGAUAUUUCUUGUUUAUCAGCUGCUCCAGUACAAGUUCAUCUAACAGAACACGUCAGCUCUGUGUGCAAUCUGAGCUUCACAUGCAGCUUCCUGCCAAUGAGCUAAUUUUGUGGCAUGGUUUUAGAAACAGAAGAGUUACUUUGAUGUUUUGGAAUAGUUAAGCCUCUUGGAGAUACGAGCAUGACUUUUCCUUUAUCCACAAACUGCUAUUUGCAAGACAGUGGAACCUCUUGGAAACCAACGAGUAUCUUCAUAGAUUCAUAUCUAAGUACUUUUCUGAGAUUAUGAGAAAAAUACAUAUUCCACGUGAUUUAGGUCAUUAUUUCUAAUAAGGGGACAGUUAGAGCACUGCUUCUCUGCUUUGGUUUCUUCAGCCAUGACACCUGAGAAAAUUAAUGGAAGUGAUAAAUCCAAGAGAAUGUGGCCUCCAGGGAACAGAAAUCCAAUCAAGAAAUGACUAUUUGACAGGUUGUAUUAUUAUUCAUCUGAUGACUCUUAUUUCUAGAUAUACAAUGAAGAAUGUCAAAGAAAAGGUAGCAAGCUACCCAAUUCAUGCAAUAAAAGCAAAUGUAAACCUUAUAACUAAACGAUAAAUACAGCAGUCUUGUUUCAACAUUAUCAUUAUAGUGGACAAUAUAAACGUUAUGUACCAGGCACAGUUCUAAACCUCUUCAAUAAAUUGUCUUACUUAAACCUUAUAAUGAUCAGUAAGAAAACUAUAUUCCCAUUUUACAGAUAUGGACACUGAGGCCAAGAAAAGUUCAUUUGCAAAUGACAAGAAGAUGAUUAGAAUUUGGGCAGUCUGGCUUCAGAGCCUGUGGCUGUCAUCUUAAAUACUACUAGGAAUAAACUCAGUUAUGUAUUUUAAGGGUAGCCUGGUUGACCCCAAGGGUAGCCUAGUUUAUCUUGGUCUUGAUAGACUUUUGCCUUUCCUACUAACAAAGUGUUGAUAAAAGAUUCUUAAGUCAUUUCGUGACAUGGCAAGGGAGAGAAAACAAAGUAUCCUCUACCACUGUUCUCCCUCAACCCCUCCACACCCCAGCUCUGCAACUUAACAAGAAUAAACUUAUUGUUAACCCCUACAAUCUUCAUCAGUCCUUACGGUGGUUUUAUGGCCUAGCUCUUACAACAAAAGAUGAAGCCAGAAGAGCACCUUUUACUCUUUGAGGAACUGUCCUUUCCCCACUUGGUGUGUUCGGGUGGACACAGUACCCUAUCCCCGACCUAGGUGAUUGGUCCGGGGUGGACUGAUAUACCAUCUAUUUUUAGAUAUGAAAAUAGAAAUUCUUAAAAAGUUUAGUCAUCACAAAUAGUAAUAAAUCCAUUGCAUGUAAAUACAAAUAACUUUUUAAAAAGAAAAUAACUAUAUUUUCCAAAAAUGAUUAGUAAGAAGAUAGGCAUUGCUCUGCAUGUUUUCAAAUCUCUUCAACAUUUGGCUUAGUAGAAGACAGCCAGAUUCUCAUAGCUUCAUAGAUUCCAUUAGCCAUUGAAGCAAUGAGGUUACCACAUGUCAACUAACUUCUGGAAGACACCACUGUACGCUUGGCAGAGAAUGAGUGAAAAAGGCAACUAACAUCUUAACAUUAUAAUGAAAGUAGUUUUGACUUUGCAGAACCCCAUGAAGUUCCCAUGUCACACUUUAGGAACCACUGCUCUAGGGAAAUGUAUCCAUUUUUGACUUCACUACUUACUAUUAAGGGCUUAGACUCUAAGAAGUUACAUGUUUUACUGUAGACCUCAUCUGCUAGAUACGUAAAUAUUGUCUGUCUAGUAUAAAAGAUAACUCCACAGGUUAGGAUCUGUCUCUAAUUCAGCAAACAUUUAAAAAUGCUUUUCCUGGUGAAGACAUACAUCCUAUUCCUUUCAUUCUCCUUUGAACCACUUUUGCCUAUUGGUUCUCUGACCAAUGAGUUGAACAUAAUCUUUGACUUAUUUACUCUAUUUGUAUACUUAUGUUUUAAACUUUUGGAACAUGAUAGCUUGACAUGCACUUGGCUAUUUCUGGAGAUUUCACCAAGUUUUCUGUAAGAAAUGGUUAAACUUCUAGCUAGGCUGGCCCUUGUGAAAGUAGAAAGGAGACAACAGGUGAUUUUGCUAAAAGAAACUCGCUCUUCCGCAGCUAGCAAACAUGACUGGAUGAGAUUAAACAAUCAAAGCCCUCUCAGCAUUUAAAAAUCCCAACUCUCAGUCUUGAUCCACAGGAGCAAAGGGUAGAUUCUAAAACCAUGGACGCGAUGGGGAUCGGGAGGAGCCUGAGAACCAGGAGACCCCUGAUCAUCCCCUUCUAAGCCCCUCCUCUUAUGCAUACCCUUCUGGGCAAAAGCAAUCUGGUGGAGUUGCAACAUGCAUGUAUUGGACUGAAUUAUACACGUUCUGUUGGAGAGUGGUGGUGGUGGUGGUAACUAAGAAG
rnacentral:lncRNA from 1 species